AGUAGUUUGAUCCUGGCUCAGGACGAACGCUGGCGGCGUGCUUAACACAUGCAAGUCGAACGGACCUCUUUAUUUGAAGCCUUCGGGCAGAUUAUUCUGAGGUUAGUGGCGGACGGGUGAGUAACGCGUGGGUAACCUGCCCCGUACACGGGGACAACAGUUGGAAACGACUGCUAAUACCGGAUAAUAUCCCAGGGAGGCAUCUUUUUGGGAUGAAAGGUGGCCUAGACAAUGCUACCGAUAUGGGAUGGACCCGCGUCUGAUUAGAUAGUUGGCGAGGUAACGGCUCACCAAGUCGACGAUCAGUAGCCGGCCUGAGAGGGCGGCCGGCCACAUUGGGACUGAGACACGGCCCAGACUCC
rnacentral:rRNA from 1 species